AUUGAACGCUGGCGGCAGGCCUAACACAUGCAAGUCGAGCGAGCGGCGGACGGGUGAGUAAUGUAUGGGGACUGCCCGAUAGAGGGGGAUAAAUACUGGAAACGGUGGCUAAUACCGCAUACUAUCGGAUAACCCAUAUGGGAUUAGCUAGUAGGUGGGGUAAAGGCUCACCUAGGCGACGAUCUCUAGCUGGUCUGAGAGGAUGAUCAGCCACACUGGGACUGAGACAUGGCCCAGACUCCUACGGAGGCAGCAGUAGGGAAUAUUGGGCAAUGGACGCAAGCCUGACGCAGCCAUGCCGCGUGUAUGAAGAAGGCCUUAGGGUUGUAAAGUACUUUCAGCAGGGAGGCGUUACCCGAAGAAGAAGCACCUGCUAACUCCGUGCCAGCAGCCGCGGUAAUUC
rnacentral:rRNA from 1 species